ACGUGUGUUCUUCCAAUCUGAGUACAGUUGAACAGAGCAGGCUGCUGUGCCUAUCAGCUUUGUUUCCACUCUGCCUGGUUCCAUCAUCUUGCCAUAUCCUAG